UCAGAACGAAGAGAAACUCUCUCUCCGAAUAGUGUUAGAAACUUCUCUCUCUCAUCUCCGAAACUCGAUCGGAAACCGCUCUCAUCUCCGAAACUCGAUUGGAAACCGCUCUCAUCUCCGAUCAAAUUCCUUCAUCUAUAUUCUAUCUGUAUCUCGGUUCGAUUGUUCAUCUGAGUUUCCGUCAUCGUUCUCAGAGAUAUGUUUCUUCUUCUUCAACACCAAAUCGAUAUUCCUUCAUCUAUAUUCUAACUAAUUGCGAUGCCACACAUAAGAAGGUAACAUAAACACAUUGGCUGGAAAUGUACCUCCGAAAGCUAACCUCGGUGACUUGAGGGGGCUUGAAUGGGCUUAAAAGUUCUUCGAUGAAAAGAUGAAGCAGGAAAGAACUUGCUCAGGUUGUAAGUGAUCCAAGCUUAACCAAAUCUGGUGUUUACUGGAGCUGGAAUAAAGCCUCUGCUUCAUUUGAAAACCAGCUAUCUCAAGAGGUCAGCAUUUGUUCCUACACUUUCCUUUUACAUGCAGCAACCAAAACAGAGAACACAAAACAAAUGCUUAAGAAAAUGUGAGACUCUUGUCAUGGAAGACAAGACCACUUUUGGAGGAAGUUGAAUUGGUUAAGAACGACAUCAGGGAACUUGGGCACUGCAUAUUGAUUUGCACAACGCUCAUGAUAUAU